UCGUCCUGACCAGACUCAAGUCAGAAGAUGAGCCAACGCGCUCUCUCAGUGGCCUCAUCCUCAAGAACAACGUGAAGGCACACUAUCAGAGCUUCCCACCCCCUGUGGCAGACUUCAUCAAACAGGAGUGUCUCAACAACAUUGGCGACGCCUCCUCGCUCAUCCGAGCCACCAUUGGCAUUCUCAUCACCACCAUCGCUUCCAAGGGUGAGCUGCAGAUGUGGCCCGAGCUGCUGCCCCAGCUCUGCAACCUGCUUAACUCGGAGGAUUACAACACUUGUGAGGGAGCCUUUGGAGCCCUGCAGAAGAUCUGUGAAGACUCAUCAGAGCUUCUGGACAGUGACGCCCUCAACAGGCCCCUCAACAUCAUGAUCCCCAAGUUCCUGCAGUUCUUCAAGCACUGCAGUCCCAAGAUCCGGUGGGUGCAGCUCCCUGGGGGCUUCCAGGGAGCCUGGAGUGGGCAGGGUCAGGGUGACCCACGUGUCUGCUCCCCGCCAGGUCCCACGCCAUCGCCUGCGUGAACCAGUUCAUCAUGGACCGGGCCCAGGCGCUGAUGGACAAUAUUGACACCUUCAUCGAGGUGGGCCGCUGGGCUGGGGGUGGGCAGGGCGAGGACUGAGGGCCC
rnacentral:sRNA from 1 species